GGUGCGUAACGCGUGGGAUCUGCCCUUGGGUUCGGAAUAACAGUUGGAAACGACUGCUAAUACCGGAUGAUGACUUCGGUCCAAAGAUUUAUCGCCCAGGGAUGAGCCCGCGUAGGAUUAGCUUGUUGGUGAGGUAAAAGCUCACCAAGGCGACGAUCCUUAGCUGGUCUGAGAGGAUGAUCAGCCACACUGGGACUGAGACACGGCCCAGACUCCUACGGGAGGCAGCAGUGGGGAAUAUUGGACAAUGGGCGAAAGCCUGAUCCAGCAAUGCCGCGUGAGUGAUGAAGGCCUUAGGGUUGUAAAGCUCUUUUACCCGGGAUGAUAAUGACAGUACCGGGAGAAUAAGCCCCGGCUAACUCCGUGCCAGCAGCCGCGGUAAUA
rnacentral:rRNA from 1 species